rnacentral:sRNA from 1 species
ACCGAAAACAAGAGGAUAGAGUA